rnacentral:lncRNA from 1 species
AUUGGUUGAACAGUAUUAAUAGAUGAGAAAGAAGGUGUUUAAAGUAGCUUACCUAACAAGAUCAGAUGAAGAAAAUUUAGAAUCCCACAAUCUUUUUUUAAACCACUACAUAUUUUUGUACCUAAAAGCCCAAAAUGACUCCAUUGUGAUUUUUUAUUUUGUUCUGUAAUAUUUUCUCAAGACUUGAGCCUUGCUAAUAGCAUCCAUGCUAUUAAACUGGUAGGGAACCUAAUUACAGCUUUUUAUCUCAAACCCAAAUCAUCUCAAAGCUACUUAAGAAGAUUAUUACCUUAAUCUACCUGCUACAUUCUUCAGUGCACUUAUGAUGCAUGCCAUAGUAUCAACUGUGGAGAUUGUGGGGGAGAUCUCAAGUUAGAAAGACUGGGUAAGUAGUUUUAAAAAAGCAUCUUAUUGUACAACUGGAGAGCCAGGAUCUGAUACUGUCAUAGGGCAAAUAGAAUCAUUUAAUCUCUUUGGAAUUCUGUUGCCGAGUAGGAAAAAUACAACUAUGGAAUAAAUAGUGAUUAAUUUGCACAUUUGACUCAUUUGUUUUGAAUUGUAGCAAUUUAUUAAUAUAGGUAGUGACUGAAAGUAUUUAUAAAGGGUGUUGGAAAGAGUAGACACAGUGAAGCCCAUAUCCAUAUCCAACUUUGGAUCCAAGCUCAAGAGCUGUAUGAUCCGAGCCACGCUCAUUCUAUUCUUUUGGGAUUCGGUUUCUAUAAUGGUGAAAAAGAAAGCAGUACGUAACUUACUCACAGUGUUUGUCCGUUUGUUCAUUUGUUUGUGUGAUAACCCUGACUUCAUUUAUUAUGUAGCCCAGGCUUAGAAUUUAUGAUUCCCUGGUGUCAAUCUCUCAGGUGCUUGUGGCUACAAAGGUAUUCCAUGGCACCAGGCUCCAGACUUUGAAUGGCUGUUGAAUGUUAAAUAGCUUCUAUGAUAAUAAAAACAUCUUCUGAUAACAAUUGUUAUUGUUAUAAUUUUUUUUAGAAUUUAGGAGCAAGAAUGUGAGUUGAAUCACAAGACUUCUUCUUUUAGAAGUAAAGGAGGAAAAUCCAAAUGACAGUAAAAAAUCAUCACUAUAAUUCCCCUUUAAAAAGUUUGUAUUUUGAGGUUUCCAUCCAAGUCAAAUUUUCAUUGCCUGUGUUCUCAUGUGGGAGGUUCCUUAGAUGUUUUAAAGAACCUCUCCAUGCCAGUGAUCAUUUAGUCUUACUUUCCCCAUCCUGCAUUUUAAUACAUUUUAAUACAUCCUCAAAAUACAUUGUGAUCCAUUCAGAUCUUUAUCCCUGAGAAAAAAGUAUGACACGGAUGAGAGCUAAAGGGCAGAACCUGUGAUGUGGAAUUUAUGAGGCUGGUGGCCUUACAUCCCUGCAAUUUUCACACAUAGCACUUGCUCAGUAGGUAUCAUCUGCAGCUGUAAUUUGAAAGGCAGUUUCUGUGCUAAUUAGUUUAUUUCAAAAGGAGAGGACUUUCCCCUGCAUUCAUCUUGCUUCUCUGAAGACACUAGUAUUUGACUCUUUCUGCACCAGUCUGUGUGGCUCUCUCACACUGCGAAUUUUCUCCCAUGCUCCAUGUUUUAUGCCUCAGUAAUCAUUUUCAUUUUGACAUGCAUGUCUUGGGGAUGCUUUUGAAUUCAUUUCCUCCAGGAAGCACUCGGUGAUGAAUAAUUUAGCCAGAUAACUAUUCACUAAAGAGAAAACACAAGGGAGAAGAAACAGAAAAUUCAAACAAGGUUUUUGUUUUGUUGGUUUUUCCCCUCUUCCUACAGAUAACUAGGGACCCUAUUCUUUUGUCAAGCAAGACAACUAUUACUUAUUUCCCUUGUUACCCUGGAAGCUGGAGUAUGCUAACCCUUUGACAAGUAAACACAAUUCUCAGUAGUUCAUAUGAGAACAAGAGAGGGUUAAAUAUCAUUGAGAGGUCAAACACAUUUACAUCAGAAAAGGUGGAAUAGUGUUUUAAUUGGAGUCAUUUAAUAGCAUGCUUUUGCUUUCACUGUAAAGGAUCAAGAAUUGUUUGUUAGGACUCAGCUUCUAUAGCCAUGUUCUCUACCAAGGACUUACCUCCUGACAUCACCCUGUUAGAAUACAAAAUUUCCACACACUAGU